UACGUAGGGACCAAGCGUUGUUCGGAUUUACUGGGCGUAAAGGGCGCGUAGGCGGCCACCGCAAGUCGACUGUGAAAUCUCCGGGCUUAACCCGGAACGGUCAGCCGAUACUGCGGGGCUAGAGUGCAGAAGGGGCAACUGGAAUUCUCGGUGUAGCGGUGAAAUGCGUAGAUAUCGAGAGGAACACCUGCGGCGAAGGCGGGUUGCUGGGCUGACACUGACGCUGAUGUGCGAAAGCUAGGGGAGCGAACGGG
rnacentral:rRNA from 1 species